GUGCUAGCUCUGGCAGCACAGAUGAAAAAUUGGAUUACGAUACAGAGAAGAUUAGCAUGGCCCCU
rnacentral:snRNA from 1 species